GCUUACUUUUCAUCACCCUUCGGUCUGUGCCAGUGUUAAAAGAAUAAUAGAAACAAAAACCAUUAACAAGUUUUCAUACACAAAUAAUAAGUUUUGAAAAAAUUGCAUUUUCUUAAGACUUUCUGAGAAGCACUGUCGUGAUAGGUAGGUUUUGAUAUUUUGUUGGACGAUUCGUUAUGACUGGUUGUGAGCCGCAGCUGCGUGUCGGUUGGUUGUCUUAAGUAGGUCACUGUGUCUUAGUGUGGCAGUUGGAGAGAGUGCCAAAGACGUGUUUCCUCAGUACUGUCUCAAUCAUCACGUGAACAUGAACCUGCUGGAAUUUUCGUUCGGUCUUCUCGUUUGUUUUCUUUUUUUUAUAUCAGCAGUUUGGCAAGAGUCA